GGUAAGGCGGAGUAGUACUACAGUAGGAAUAGGGAGGGGAACAAAUAAGAGGAGCCUGGGGAAAGCCAAGAACCAGACCAGUAGCCUAAGACUUCCUGAAGAGGAGAACAAAGUGAGAACCAGUCAAAAAUCCAAAGGCACAAAACCAUCCACGGUUUCUCCUACUAGUCAUCACCAACAAGUCUCUUGUGACCACCAAAUCAUAUACUAGUAGCCAUAACCCAAGGAGUAGAGGAGUUGGAGGGGAGGACGGUCUAGCAGAGAUCAGGAGAAGCAGUCGGUGGGCUAACCAAGCGCAAAACAUGGUGUUGCACAAGUACAAGGAUGCCACAUCCAUGUUCGUGUGCUUGCUGCCUCGGUCGAGCUCGUCCCCAAAACAAAGGGGACAAUAAAACGUCGAUGGACUUAUGAAGUAUACGAGUGGAUCUGAGUGACAUGCUAAAGGACAG